rnacentral:tRNA from 1 species
AAGUAAAGAAGUAAUAAUUACAUUUAGUUUCGACCUAAAAAUAGAGUAUUUAACUCCAUACUUU